rnacentral:rRNA from 1 species
UCAUGGCUCAGGACGAACGCUGGCGGCGUGCUUAACACAUGCAAGUCAAGGGGAAAGUUUCUUUCGGGAGAAUGAUUACACUGGCGAACGGGUGAGUAACGCGUAGGCAACCUGCCCUUGCGAUUGGGAUAACAUCGAGAAAUCGUUGCUAAUACCAUAUGAUAUUCUAUUACUACCUGGUAAAAGAAUCAAAGGUGCUUUUGUACCGCGCAUGGAUGGGCCUGCGUUCCAUUAGUUAGUUGGUAAGGUAACGGCUUACCAAGGCAGCGAUGGAUAGCUGAUCUGAGAGGGUGAUCAGCCACACUGGGACUGAGAUACGGCCCAGACUCCUACGGGAGGCAGCAGUGAGGAAUAUUGCGCAAUGGAGGAAACUCUGACGCAGCAACGCCGCGUGGGGGAUGAAGCACUAUGGUGUGUAAACCCCUGUAGAUAGGGACGAACGGUAUGUAUUCGUAAGGGUAUGUAUGUGACGGUACCUAUAAAGUAAGCACCGGCUAACUCCGUGCCAGCAGCCGCGGUAAUACGGGGGGUGCAAGCGUUGUCCGGAAUUACUGGGCGUAAAGGGCGUGUAGGCGGCCUGGUCAGUCAGAUGUGAAAGCCCACGGCUUAACCGUGGAACUGCAUUUGAAACUGCCCGGCUUGAGUGUGAGAUGGGGUAGCGGAAUUCCCAGUGUAGCGGUGAAAUGCGUAGAUAUUGGGAAGAACACCAGUAGCGAAGGCGGCUACCUGGCUCACAACUGACGCUAAUGCGCGAAAGCGCGGGGAGCAAACAGGAUUAGAUACCCUGGUAGUCCGCGCUGUAAACGAUGGAUACUAGAUGUUGGUCCCUUUUAGGAUCAGUGUCGCAGCUAACGCAUUAAGUAUCCCGCCUGGGCGAGUACGAUCGCAAGGUUGAAACUCAAAUG